GCUAGCUGUGUGUCCUGUGUACUGUCUUUCUGUAUGUCUGUGUCUCUGACUGGCUGCAUAGCUGUCUAUCUGGCGCUGGCUAGCUGUGUGUCCUGUGUACUGUCUUUCUGUAUGUCUGUCUCUCUGACUGACUGCCUAGCUGACUGUCUGGUUCUGCCUAGCUGACUGUCUGGCUCUGGCUAGCUGACUGUCUGGUUCUGCCUAGCUGACUAUCUGGCUCUGGCUAGCUGUGUGUGAUUGGAUGUGUGGCACUGUUUAGGGCAAGCCUUCCUUCUAAUGGCACCGUUAAGGUAAACCUGCAAAAAAGAGAAAGACAACAACAAGAAAGUGAAAAUGGACAGUAAUGAAAG